ensembl:lncRNA
GCAGAGUCCAACACGACUGAGCAACUAACACAUCCACUUUUUUGCAACCUACAAAAGUGCUCCUGCAGGAGCUCUGGGAUCCAGGUGUGAGGCUGUAAAAGCUCAGUGCAAUCCUAGAUGGAGGAGAGGAUUUUGAGAGGGAAAGCUCGUACCUGGCAAAGGAGCUGCUGACGAGGGUCCCAGCUACAGAGCCAGAAGCAGCUCUGUACCCCUGAGAACUCAGCCUCAGCCCCAUAUGGCUUGGUCCUGGCAUGGCACCAUAUGCCAAGGGAGCUGGAGCCAGACCCAGAGUUAGGCCCGCCCACAGCUCAGGUGUCAGGCAUACAGACCCGGGUCCUGCCUGUGGGCCCUGAAGCACCCGUGAACUGGCUCCAGCCCCUCUUGGCUGUGGUCUGGGAACCCCUGGAGGAGAUCUUCCCCAUCCAGGAACUGAAUCCGUGUCUUCUUCACUGUGGGCAGAUGCUUCACCGCCAAGCCUGUGGAUACAGGGAGAAUCUGAGAGGGGCUGAACGGAGGGACGAGACACUGACCUCCCAGAAUCCUUCACUCUGGAAUCCAUCUUGGCUGAGUGAUGGUCACACCACCAGCAAGGACCCUGAGUCAGACCAUCUGUGGGCCAAGCAGGAAGACCGGCCAGAGACAACCCGGACAGGAACCUCACAUACCCUGCUUGCUCUCCGUCGGGCGCCCCUUCCCAAUAAAGGCUCUUGCUUCAUCAGCGCGUGUGUCUUCUCAGACAAUUCAUCACCAAGAGUUAAAUGAGAGCCCACUCACGGGACCUGGAAGGGGCCCGUCCUUCCUGCAAUGCUCAGCCUGAGCCUGGGCUGCAAGGGAGGCUGGGAGAGUGCGUGUCUGGCACUUGGUCUUGUGAGCUGUCCCUACGCCCUCCUCACACCAAGCAGCUGUGGGCUCCUUGAGUGGAAAGCAGAAGUAGAAAACCAAUGAGAUUGUGGAAAUUUCUAAACGAUCUAUCAUUUGGCUUUAGUUUUCUUCCGUUCUCUCAGAUGCCAAUCUUUGCUCCCCAUCCUCUCUUCUCACUUGAGAUCAAAUUAAGCUUUCAAAAGCUAGUCAUUUUUAAUGGGCUGAUUGAGUGACUUCAUUGACUUGAAAGAACUUUCUGCCAACUGCCUUUAAUUGCUUUUUUUCCCCUUUAAAUCAAAGGUGCUUAUACUCAGUUCUGGAUCCGCUCCAAAUUAAGUGAUUAUAUGUUGUUACCUCCACACUCUCUCUAAUUUCUUCAAAGCAAAUGGACUAUUCACAUC